GGGAAUUUUGCGCAAUGGGGGAAACCCUGACGCAGCAACGCCGCGUGGAGGAUGAAAUCCCUUGGGAUGUAAACUCCUUUCGAUAGGGAAGAUAAUGACGGUACCUAUAGAAGAAGCCCCGGCUAACUUCGUGCCAGCAGCCGCGGUAAUACGAGGGGGGCAAGCGUUGUUCGGAAUUAUUGGGCGUAAAGGGUGCGUAGGCGGUUUGACAAGUCUUAUGUGAAAUCUUCGGGCUCAACCCGAAGUCUGCAUAGGAAACUGUCGGGCUUGAGUAUGGGAGAGGUGAGUGGAAUUUCCGGUGUAGCGGUGAAAUGCGUAGAUAUCGGAAGGAACACCUGUGGCGAAAGCGGCUCACUGGACCAUAACUGACGCUGAUGCACGAAAGCUAGGGGAGCAAACA
rnacentral:rRNA from 1 species